AUUGAACGCUGGCGGCAGGCCUAACACAUGCAAGUCGAGCGGUAGCACAGAGAGCUUGCUCUCGGGUGACGAGCGGCGGACGGGUGAGUAAUGUCUGGGAAACUGCCUGGUGGAGGGGGAUAACUACUGGAAACGGUAGCUAAUACCGCAUAACGUCGCAAGACCAAAGUGGGGGACCUUCGGGCCUCAUGCCAUCAGAUGUGCCCAGAUGGGAUUAGCUGGGAGGUGGGGUAACGGCUCACCUAGGCGACGAUCCCUAGCUGGUCUGGGGGGAUGACCGGCAACCAUGGAACUGAGACACGGUCCAGACUCCUACGGGAGGCAGCAGGGGGGAAGAUUGCACAAUGGGCGCAAGCCUGAUGCAGCCAUGCCGCGUGUGUGAAGAAGGCCUUCGGGUUGUAAAGCACUUUCAGCGGGGAGGAAGGCAUUAAGGUUAAUAACCUUAGUGAUUGACGUUACCCGCAGAAGAAGCACCGGCUAACUCCGUGCCAGCAGCCGCCGUAA
rnacentral:rRNA from 1 species